rnacentral:SRP_RNA from 1 species
CCGUGCUAGACGGGGAGCUAGCGGUGCCCUGCACUCGCAAUCCGCUACAGCGGGGUUGAAUUCCUCUCCUAGGCCUGGCCAUUGGGCCCCUAUCCUUGGAUCGGGAUAUUGAUAGCCGGGUCCCACGCGGCGUAGACCUGUGAACCCCGCCAGGUCCGGAAGGAAGCAACGGUAAGCAGGACCCUGCGGGUGCCGUGGGAGCGCCUGGCUGGAGUCGCCAUCCGGGACAAGCCUACUGGCCAUUGUCGAAGAGGGGUGCGCGG